rnacentral:rRNA from 1 species
AUUGAACGCUGGCGGCAGGCUUAACACAUGCAAGUCGAACGGUAGCAGGAGGAAGCUUGCUUUCUUGCUGACGAGUGGCGGACGGGUGAGUAAUGCUUGGGAAUCUGGCUUAUGGAGGGGGAUAACUACGGGAAGCUGUAGCUAAUACCGCGUAGUAUCGGAAGAUGAAAGUGCGGGACCGUAAGGCCGCAUGCCAUGAGAUGAGCCCAAGUGGGAUUAGGUAGUUGGUGGGGUAAAGGCCUACCAAGCCUGCGAUCUCUAGCUGGUCUGAGAGGAUGGCCAGCCACACUGGAACUGAGACACGGUCCAGACUCCUACGGGAGGCAGCAGUGGGGAAUAUUGCGCAAUGGGGGAAACCCUGACGCAGCCAUGCCGCGUGAAUGAAGAAGGCCUUCGGGUUGUAAAGUUCUUUCGGUAUUGAGGAAGGUUGAUGUGUUAAUAGUACAUCAAAUUGACGUUAAAUACAGAAGAAGCACCGGCUAACUCCGUGCCAGCAGCCGCGGUAAUACGGAGGGUGCGAGCGUUAAUCGGAAUAACUGGGCGUAAAGGGCACGCAGGCGGUUAUUUAAGUGAGGUGUGAAAGCCCCGGGCUUAACCUGGGAAUUGCAUUUCAGACUGGGUAACUAGAGUACUUUAGGGAGGGGUAGAAUUCCACGUGUAGCGGUGAAAUGCGUAGAGAUGUGGAGGAAUACCGAAGGCGAAGGCAGCCCCUUGGGAAUGUACUGACGCUCAUGUGCGAAAGCGUGGGGAGCAAACAGG